GAGAAGAACGCAGCGAAAUGCGAUACGUAGUGUGAAUUGCAGAAUUCAGUGAAUCAUCGAAUCUUUGAACGCACAUUGCACCUCUCGGUAUUCCGGGAGGUAUGCCUGUUCGAGCGUCAUUUGUACCCUCAAGCUCUGCUUGGUGUUGGGUGUUUGUUCCGCCUCUGUGUGUGAACUCGCCUCAAAACAAUUGGCAGCCGGCGUACUUGUUUCGGAGCGCAGCACAUUUUGCGAUCCAGAUCAACGUACAGCGGCAUCCAAGAAGCCUUAUUUAACGCUCUUGACCUCGGAUCAGGUAGGGAUACCCGCUGAACUUAAGCAUAUCAAUAAGCGGAGGA
rnacentral:misc_RNA from 1 species